CCCAAAAUCCCAAUCCAAUCCAACCCAGCGCGAACGCACCUCUCUACAUAUCCCUCCUCCGAUCUACAGCCGCCGCCGCCGCCGCCGCGCCGUGGUUAGCGCCAGCAACCGGACGCUCCAGUCCCGCCCGGCGCACUUCCAACUCCCGCCUCCCACCUCGCGUCUCCGCCAUCGCCCCCUGAUAACCCGUUCCCAUUUUUCCUCAUCGCGACGUCGCCUUCCUGCUGUCUCAACCCCGUCUGCAAUCUUUGGCCAUUUGGUGUUGAGGAAGAAUACCAUGGAGAUCAGACCCAUGGUAGCUCUGCGCGCAGCCCUAGUUGGUGGCGUAGCAGCAUUUGCGAAAAUUGCUGGGGCGAUGAAAGCUGCAGGAGGCGUGAAGGUUGGUGCAGCGGCUGCAGCCAUGACAGCAGCAGCAACGGCUGCUGUAUCCGGAAAAGACACGGCUAAUGAUAACCAAAAGCCAGGAGCAAAAUGAUAUAUGCCAUGAAUUUGGUUGAAAAGCAAUGUAUGAAAAUUGCUUCUCCAGAAUUUAGAUCAGCAUUCAGCAGUUUAUCAGUGCUGAAGAGUUGUGGAAGCUAAUUGUGGUCUUCGACAUGAUAAAAUAAGUUAUCGGAGCAAUUUUAAUGAUACACGUGUUAUCUACUCUGGUAUAAGAGUUACAUUGUCCCGAGUUCCUCUAUUUAUGAUUUGUUUCCAUGCAA